CAGAGGAAACAAAUAUGUUUCUCGUCAUUCGCAAUGUUAUGUUCUGCUGACUUCUUUUUGGAAGUAAAGGAGUUCUGGCUAUGGGGAUGUUCUUCUGGCUCAUCUUUGAUUGAAUGUUACGUAUGUACCUGCUUUUAUAAUAUAUUAAAUAUAUAAACAAACCAAGCUAGAAUUUAUUUUGUCUUGCUUGUUAGAGAUGGUUGUAGAAAUUAAUUUGCUUUGCUGCUGACCUGUUUGUUUGAUACCAAUUAGUAGGUGUUUCCUCCUAUCUGAAAGAGUGCAGUAACAGCUGAAGUUGCUCUUGACUACAAAACUGGCCUACUUGACCCACGUGAUUUAAUAUUGCAAUUAAACUCACAUAACUAACAAAGCUACAGAGCUUUGUCAUAGCUAGAUAAUGGUGAUGAGGAGUAAUUCUGAUUUUCCUUACAAACUCACCAGAUCUACACAUUCUUUCUUCUACUCAAUUUUGUCAAUUUUUAUCAGGAAAAAAGAGAACACGCACCUCCACUACAGAAAAUGCAUCUGGUUGUUGUUUGAUGUUACAGUCUUUGGAUCUGUAUGUCACAAGAACUAACUGUUCUCUCAGCUUUUUCAUAUUAUUGUGAAGUUAGGUAACAGUAGGAGAUGUUUUUCAUCUUAUGAGAUUAUUUUUAGCUUUA